rnacentral:rRNA from 1 species
CGAAAGCCUGAUCCAGCAACGCCGCGUGAGGGAUGACGGCCUUCGGGUUGUAAACCUCUUUCAGCACCGACGAAGCGAGAGUGACGGUAGGUGCAGAGGAAGGACCGGCCAACUACGUGCCAGCAGCCGCGGUAAUACGUAGGGUCCGAGCGUUGUCCGGAAUUAUUGGGCGUAAAGGGCUCGUAGGCGGUUUGUCGCGUCGGGAGUGAAAACUCAGGGCUUAACCCUGAGCGUGCUUCCGAUACGGGCAGACUAGAGGUAUGCAGGGGAGAACGGAAUUCCUGGUGUAGCGGUGGAAUGCGCAGAUAUCAGGAGGAACACCGGUGGCGAAGGCGGUUCUCUGGGCAUUACCUGACGCUGAGGAGCGAAAGCAUGGGGAGCGAACAGGAUUAGAUACCCUGGUAGUCCAUGCCGUAAACGUUGGGCGCUAGGUGUGGGGACCUUCCACGGUUUCCGUGCCGCAGCUAACGCAUUAAACGCCCCGCCUGGGGAGUACGGCCGCAAGGCUAAAACUCAAAGGAAUUGACGGGGGCCCGCACAAGCGGCGGAGCAUGCUGAUUAAUUCGAUGCAACGCGAAGAACCUUACCUGGAUUUGACAUAUGCCGGAAAGCUGCAGAGAUGUGGCCCCCCUUGUGGUCGGUUUACAGGUGGUGCAUGGCUGUCGUCAGCUCGUGUCGUGAGAUGUUGGGUUAAGUCCCGCAACGAGCGCAACCCUCGUCCUAUGUUGCCAGCACGUAAUGGUGGGGACUCAUAGGAGACUGCCGGGGUCAACUCGGAGGAAGGUGGGGAUGACGUCAAGUCUUCAUGCCCCUUAUGUCCAGGGCUUCAAGCAUGCUACAAUGGCCGGUACAAUGGGCUGCGAAACCGUGAGGUGGAGCGAAUCCCAAAAAGCCGGUCUCA